CGGAAGAAAUACCGGUCGAGGGGCGGUGGCAGCUCCGUGGCGACUGACUCCGGUUCCCACAGCAGGAGGGGUUCCUCCUCGCUCCCUGUUGGGAGCCAUAGCCUGGCGAGAGAGCACGCUCCCAGGCGGAUUGACGCCUCUGGUCUCCUCCUUGUCCUCUUCUUCCUCCCUUUGUUUAGGUCGGUCAUUCUGUCAUGCUCGUCCGGGAAGCGGGCGAGUGCACUGGCAGGCGAGUGAGCAGGUAACAGGCGAGCAGGCAAAAGAAGGGUAAACGGGGAUUUAUUCAACGUGCUGGGAACAGGGAACAUCGCACGAAGACUAACAUCAAUGACCGACAAGGGUAACAGGCAAGACCAGGACUUAAAACAGGACAAGACUAACCAAAGAAAUCAGACACAGGUGGCAACGAUCGGGAAGGAACACGUGGGUAGUCAGGGGGCGUGGCACACACGAGGAGCGGACGGGCCAGGCAUCACAGAGGGUGUCUGACAGGCCAAAGGGUGACUGCAGAGAAAAAUAUGGAGGUUUCGAUCGGCAGCCCCAAAAUAGACCAUGGGGGAAUAUUGGCAGAGAAAGGCCUCAGCUAAGGGACGGCAGGGACAUGCCAGAGACAGACCAAAAUGUAAAAUGGGGAAAUUAUAAUCAGCUGCCCCAGAAUGGAGAGAGAGGAAACUCUGGUCACCGAAGGCCACAGCUGAAGGACCGGAGAGGCGGGCCACCCCCACGCAAGGAGGUGGAAGGCAUGAGGCAGAGAGGCGCCAGCUAGCCUUCCUUGGGAUGACGAAAAGGAAAGCAUCUGAACUGAACGGCUGCCACCCUCUGCGUUCAGAGAGAGACCAAAGGCACCCAGUCAGUGAGGAAGAGCUGAUGUCAAGGAUGUAUGGACUGAUGGGCUGGGGUCGGGGAAGGAGGUUUAAAAAAGGAACGAUUUAAGUCUGUCUGUA